GAUGAACGCUGGCGGCGUGCCUAAUACAUGCAAGUCGAGCGAACAGACGAUGAGCUUGCUCCUCUGACGUUAGCGGCGGACGGGUGAGUAACACGUGGAUAACCUACCUAUAAGACUGGGAUAACUUCGGGAAACCGGAGCUAAUACCGGAUAAUAUAUUGAACCGCAUGGUUCAAUAGUGAAAGACGGUUUUGCUGUCACUUCUCGAUGGAUCUGCGCCGCAUUAGCUAGUUGGUACGGUACCGGCUUUCCAAGGCUACGAUGCGUAGGCGACCGCAGAGAGUGGUAGGCGACACGGGAAGUUGGACGCGGUCAAUAGUCCUACGAGAGGCAGCAGUAGGCAACGGUCCGCAGUAGUCGAGAGCCUGACGGAACGACGCCGCGUGAGAGAUGGCGGUCUUCCGAGCGUGAAGCUCUGUUAUUAGUGGUGAACAAAUGUGGAAGUAGCUAUGCACGUCGUGACGGUACCGAGUCAAAAAGCCACGGCUAACUACGUG
rnacentral:rRNA from 1 species